UACGUAGGGUCCGAGCGUUGUCCGGAAUUAUUGGGCGUAAAGGGCUCGUAGGCGGUUUGUCGCGUCGGGAGUGAAAUCUUACAGCUUAACUGUGAACUUGCUUUCGAUACGGGCAGACUUGAGGCAUUCAGGGGAGAACGGAAUUCCUGGUGUAGCGGUGAAAUGCGCAGAUAUCAGGAGGAACACCGGUGGCGAAGGCGGAUCUCUGGGCCGAUACUGACGCUGAGGAGCGAAAGCGUGGGGAGCGAACAGG
rnacentral:rRNA from 1 species